rnacentral:rRNA from 1 species
UAGAGUUUGAUCCUGGCUCAGAUUGAACGCUGGCGGCAUGCCUUACACAUGCAAGUCGAACGGCAGCAUGAUCUAGCUUGCUAGAUUGAUGGCGAGUGGCGAACGGGUGAGUAAUACAUCGGAACGUGCCCUGUAGUGGGGGAUAACUAGUCGAAAGAUUAGCUAAUACCGCAUACGACCUGAGGGUGAAAGUGGGGGACCGCAAGGCCUCAUGCUAUAGGAGCGGCCGAUGUCUGAUUAGCUAGUUGGUGGGGUAAAGGCCCACCAAGGCGACGAUCAGUAGCUGGUCUGAGAGGACGAUCAGCCACACUGGGACUGAGACACGGCCCAGACUCCUACGGGAGGCAGCAGUGGGGAAUUUUGGACAAUGGGCGAAAGCCUGAUCCAGCAAUGCCGCGUGUGUGAAGAAGGCCUUCGGGUUGUAAAGCACUUUUGUCCGGAAAGAAAUGGCUCUGGUUAAUACCUGGGGUCGAUGACGGUACCGGAAGAAUAAGGACCGGCUAACUACGUGCCAGCAGCCGCGGUAAUACGUAGGGUCCAAGCGUUAAUCGGAAUUACUGGGCGUAAAGCGUGCGCAGGCGGUUGUGCAAGACCGAUGUGAAAUCCCCGAGCUUAACUUGGGAAUUGCAUUGGUGACUGCACGGCUAGAGUGUGUCAGAGGGGGGUAGAAUUCCACGUGUAGCAGUGAAAUGCGUAGAGAUGUGGAGGAAUACCGAUGGCGAAGGCAGCCCCCNNNGAUAACACUGACGCUCAUGCACGAAAGCGUGGGGNNNAA